rnacentral:lncRNA from 1 species
CACAGCGAGCAGUAUUGCCAACCUGAAAGUCACCUUGUUGUAAGUACAUGCGGUUGCCAAGCUCUGGACUGUCACUUGUGCACUGAGAGAACUGAAGAAUUUCCUGGAGAGUAAAGAGAAGGUUGAAUUAGAGAGCAGCAGUCCAACUUCCAUCGAAGAGGAAGAGAAGACAAACCUGGACUAUGAUAAAGGACUUGAAGCAUUGUGUGAGGAGCUACAGGCCAUCUUGGACGGCUUGGUAAGACCUGAAGCUACUGGCCAUCAACAUCACUGUCUCUCAGCCCAGGGCAGCUGUUUGGGGUUUGCUUGACUGUGGGGGCAUUCAGAAGAGUCGGAGAUCUCUCCUCCCACCUACUUACAAACCCUGAUGCUCUCAAGUCACGUCGGGUACAUACUCCAGCAGUGUCAACUGCUUCAAGGGUCCAGAGUGAAUAUUCAGAUUCUGUGGGCCAGACCAUUUCUAUCACACUGACUUCUUGGUGCUGCUGUGUAACACGAGAGCAGCCAUGGUGUUGUCAGUGUGGGCCUAGCAGUUCCUACUUCAGGCUGUGGUCCGAAUCAACUGCAUUCCUUGUUCAGAUUGUUUGCACUUAGGCAUUGGGAGUUCUUGUCUGAAAUACCGUCUUUCUAGUAAAGCUCCGUUUGGGG